AGGGAUGUCGUGUCGGGACCAUUCGGCGUCUAGCGGCCUACUCACCUUGCCAAGGUGAGGGUUGCGGGUUCGAGUCCCGUCGUCCGCUU
rnacentral:tRNA from 1 species